rnacentral:lncRNA from 1 species
UCAAUCUUGUGAUCCUUCUCCCCUCAGCCUCCUGAUUAGCUAGGAUCAUAGGUGUGCACCACUGCGCCCAGCUUAGCAUGUUAAAUUUUGAGAUUCAUCUACAUUGUUGUGAAUAUCAGUAGUUCUUUUCUGUUCAUCACUCAAUGGUAACUAUUGCAUUGACUGAAUAUACCACAAGGUGUUAGUCAUCCCUGUGGAGGGACCUUUGAGUUUCUUCCAGUUUUUUAAACUGCUCUGUUGUUAACAACGUUCCCCCAGGGUCCUACAAUGCACAAGGGAGAAUCUUGGGAGGCUGGAUUCUUCUAACCCAAUGUACCCAAACACCAGCCAAGGCAGCUCAACACAGGUUGAUGUACUGGGCUUCCCUGCAGCCACAUUCUGGACUUCAGCACACCUGGAUUCAAAUUUCUCCCCUGCCACUUGAUUGCUG